rnacentral:rRNA from 1 species
GUAACACGUGGGUAACCUACCCAUAAGACUGGGAUAACUCCGGGAGACCGGGGCUAAUACUGGACAACAUUUUGGACUGCAUAGUUCGAAAUUGAAAGGCGGCUUCGGCUGUCACUUAUGGAUGGACCCGCGUCGCACUAGCUAGCUGGUGAGGAAACGGCUCACCAAGGCGACGAUGCGUAGCCGACCUGAGAGGGUGAUCGGCCACACUGGGACUGAGACACGGCCCAGACUCUUACGGGAGGCAGCAGUAGGGAAUCUUCCGCAAUGGACGAAAGUCUGACGGAGCAACGCCGCGUGAGUGAUGAAGGCUUUCGGGUCGUAAAACUCUGUUGUUAGGGAAGAACAAGUGCUAGUUGAAUAAGCUGGCACCUUGACGGUACCUAACCAGAAAGCCACGGCUAACUACGUGCCAGCAGCCGCGGUAAUACGUAGGUGGCAAGCGUUAUCCGGAAUUAUUGGGCGUAAAGCGCGCGCAGGUGGUUUCUUAAGUCUGAUGUGAAAGCCCACGGCUCAACCGUGGAGGGUCAUUGGAAACUGGGAGACUUGAGUGCAGAAGAGGAAAGUGGAAUUCCAUGUGUAGCGGUGAAAUGCGUAGAGAUAUGGAGGAACACCAGUGGCGAAGGCGACUUUCUGGUCUGUAACUGACACUGAGGCGCGAAAGCGUGGGGAGCAAACAGGAUUAGAUACCCUGGUAGUCCACGCCGUAAACGAU